rnacentral:rRNA from 1 species
UACGUAGGUGGCGAGCGUUGUCCGGAUUUACUGGGCGUAAAGCGCGCGCAGGCGGACUGAUCAGUCUGGGGUGAAAUCUCACGGCUCAACUGUGAGCGGUCCCUGGAUACUGUCAGUCUUGAGAUGUCUAGAGGAGAGCGGAAUUCCCGGUGUAGUGGUGAAAUGCGUAGAUAUCGGGAGGAACACCAGUGGCGAAGGCGACUACCUGGCCUGUUUCUUGACGCUGAGGCGCGAAAGCUAGGGGAGCAAACGGG